rnacentral:rRNA from 1 species
AAGCGGUGGAUGAUGUGGUUAAUUCGAUGCAACGCGAAAACCUUACCCACCUUUGACAUGGCAGGAAUCCCGAAGAGAUUUGGGAGUGCUCGAAAGAGAACCUGCACACAGGUGCUGCAUGGCUGUCGUCAGCUCGUGUCGUGAGAUGUUGGGUUAAGUCCCGCAACGAGCGCAACCCUUGCCAUUAGUUGCUACGAAAGGGCACUCUAAUGGGACUGCCGGUGACAAACCGGAGGAAGGUGGGGAUGACGUCAAGUCCUCAUGGCCCUUAUAGGUGGGGCUACACACGUCAUACAAUGGCCGGUACAGAGGGUAGCCAACCCGCGAGGGGGAGCCAAUCCCACAAAGCCGGUCGUAGUCCGGAUCGCAGUCUGCAACUCGACUGCGUGAAGUCGGAAUCGCUAGUAAUCGCGGAUCAGCAUGUCGCGGUGAAUACGUUCCCGGGUCUU